UUUUAAACCAAAAUAUAAUUAGUUUUUUUCCACAUGCAGAAGACAAGGAGUCUGGGGUUUUGUUUCUGAAGCCCACACAGUGCAUUAGGUCAAUCCAGCAGAUGCAUCUCAGGAAGGAGCUACAUUCCUCUUACUUUUAUUUGGACUUGAGAUACCAAAAGAUGCUUAAGCUUUGAUUUUUCAUGUCAUGACACCUCAUUUAGUUUACUCCUACACAAAAUGAUAUGUUAUCUGACCCAAGGGCUUUGCAUCAUGCAUCCACAAAGCAGGGUAGGAAUCAACACAUAAAUCCAAAGCUUAUUUUACUCCUUCCUUUUCUCUACACCCUAUAUAAGGUGUCCAGCUGGUUUGUGGCAAUGGAAUAGUAAUGACAGCAGGAUGGUAAUUUCAUCUUGAGUUUUACAAGCAAGAGGAGGUGCCAAGAAGGAAACCAGGUAUGAAGGUUGCCAAAUAUAUCUUCCAUUUAUCAUCCCAGCUAACAGCAGGUAAAUUAUUUCUGAGUGGCACUUUGGAAAGGGAGGGGAGAAGAGAAGCACACACUAAUAUGUGCUGCAGAGGUGUCUCUGAGGAGUGGCUGGUGUGGCAAGCUAAAGUAUAGUCCUUCCUGCAGGAGGAGUACAGUGUGUUACUCAUGCAGGAAUUCUGGUCACGCUGCUGGAGCUAAAGUACCUGGACACAUACCCAGAUGGUCCAGUGGUAAUACAAAAAGAUUGAUCUGUUUUAUAGGAGCUGGAAAUGAAGAGAAUAUUUUUGUCCAAACAGAGUGCUCUCACCUGGGGCCCCAGCAAUGUUUCAGUCCUGGACAGCAAUUCCCAUACUCUUUUUGCAAAGUAGAGACUUCUAGAAAUGUGCCAGGCAUGAAUUAAAGAUGACUUCAACCAUGCCAAUUUUUGAGCCCUCAGUACAGCACAUGUGUUGGAAGUGAAGUAGCUAGUUUUCCAUUUCCAUUAUUCUUUAUGCAUGUUGAAUAUUGCGUGGAAGGGUUGAAUCUUGUUUUUCUCCCUUUUAGUGAAAUUAGAUAAGAUGGAAAAUUUACAAGUGUUUCUUUUUUUUUUUGUUUUUUUUGUUUUUUUGGUGUUUGAUUCACACAGAUACCCAAAGACUUUUUUCUCUUAACAGCCUAGUGAGAAUCUGAAAUCCAUCCUCUCCCCUCAUAUUGGCAGGCAUGCCUUUCCCAUGCUAAUACGUUAAGUAACUUUUAUUGCGCUGAAGAGCAUAUAAAGUUCACUGCUCUGCCAUGACCUUUUCUCCUUUAAAUUGUUUCAUCAUUGUGACCAAUAAUGGACCAAAGAGAAGACGUAAAAAUGUUAGGGACGUUUAUUUCUGAGGAGGUUAAGCAACUUUUGCUGUGCCCUUUUUACAUUCUUCCAGACCUUCUAAAAAGGGACCGUAACAUGACAGCAAUGCCCCCCUUAAUUACAUUUUGUUGUCAGAGGAAGCAUGCUUUAAAAGAACAGUAACCCAACACUCCUAGAGCUGAGGAUUUCAAUAAUUUCAACCAGGUUCGCAACAUUUGGAAAACCCCAAACCUUCUGUCAACCGACUGAAGCAAAUUUUACGCAUGCAAGAAAUAAAGUCAUGUGGCACAAGGUUCUGUGUUGUGGG
ensembl:lncRNA